rnacentral:rRNA from 1 species
UACGUCGCAAGGAUGAAACUAAAGGAACUGGCGGGGAGCACGCAACGGGAGAACGUGCGUUUAAUUGGAUUCAACACCGGAAAACUCACCAGCAGCGACUAUACAUGAAAGUCAGGCCGAUGACCUUACUAGAUUUUAGAGAGGUGGUGCAUGGCCGUCGUCAGUUCGUACCGUAAGGCGUUCUCUUAAGUGAGAUAACGAACGAGACCCUCACCAAUAAUUGCUACUGCGUCGUCCGCGGCGUAGGCACAUUAUUGGGACCGCUGGCGCUAAGUCAGAGGAAGGAGAGGUCAACGGUAGGUCAGUAUGCCCCGAAUCUGCUGGGCUACACGCGCGUUACAAAGGGCGGGACAAUGGGCUCCGACACCGAAAGGUGAAGGCAAUCUCGAAACCCGUCCGUAGUUCGGAUUGAGGGUUGUAACUCACCCUCAUGAAGCUGGAUUCCGUAGUAAUCGCGAAUCAACAACUCGCGGGAAUAUGCCCCUGCUCCGGGCACACACCGUA